rnacentral:rRNA from 1 species
GUCUAUGGCCAUACCACCCUGAGAACACCUGAUCUCAUCCAAUCUUGGAAACUAAGCAGGCUUGGAUGGGAGACCACCUGGGAAUAUUGGGUGCUGCAGGCU